rnacentral:rRNA from 1 species
ACGUGCCUCCGAGACUGGGUAGCCAUUGGAAACGAUGAUUAAUACUAGAACUCCUUCUAGUCAGAGGAUAGAAGGGAAAGAAUUUUUGCUCGGAGUCGGUCUAUAACCCAUCAGUUAGUUGGUAGUGUAAGAGACUACCAAGACGAUGACGGGUAGCGGGUUUGAGAGGUGAUCCGCCACACUGGUACUGAGACACGGACCAGACUCCUACGGGAGGCAGCAGUGAGGAAUAUUGCACAAUGGGGGGAACCCUGAUGCAGCAACGCCGCGUGGAGGAAGACGCAUUUCGGUGUGUAAACUCCUUUUAUAUGUCAAGAAGAUGACGGUAGCAUAUGAAUAAGCACCGGCUAACUCCGUGCCAGCAGCCGCGGUAAUACGGAGGGUGCAAGCGUUAUUCGGAAUCACUGGGCGUAAAGGACACGUAGGCGGGAGGUCAAGUCUGAUGUGAAA